rnacentral:lncRNA from 10 species
CUACGCCAUCGCUGACGGCUGGGGUGAACUUAUAAUGGUUGAGUGGAGCGCUCGGAAAUAGUUGGUCUUCAGUCUCGUCAGGGCCUCUGCUCACGAACGAAAGAGCUCAUUCAGAGCACAUCAAUAACCAGAACAUAGUGCAUAGUGUUGCAAUUCAACACAGGACUCCUAGACAAGCGACUCAAAGUUUCUGGGCGCUGGAGCUUGCCCGCUAGCUGCUGAAAUCCGCGGACACCACGUUCACACCUAAUUCUCACGAACCCGCAGAAAGGGAGUAUUGAAUUGAGAGUCCAAGCAACCUCAAGCCUCUGAAUACCCAUGGGAGAAGCAACGGGAAUUAAAUGAAGGCACGAGAGUGGGGGGUCAUCUGCGUUUACGUACAGUUAAAAUCUAAAUCAGGAGCUUCUUCGAUGACAUUCAACUGACUUACUCUUCCGAAGGAACGGCUAAAACCGGACUGGAGCGGGCGUGCUAGCUGAGGAGGGAGCUUGUUUCUGUCCUAACUGGAAAAGAUGACUCUGAAGAGGUCUCUGACUCUUCAGGUAAAAUCCUGCGGUGAACUCAUAAUGGAUGCGUGGAGCGCUGAGAAGCAGUUGGUCUUCACAGUCUCGUGCAGGUCUCUCCUCAUGAGUGAAAGAGCUCUUUCAGAACACAACAAGAACCAGAAUAUUGCACUUAGUGUUGCAAUUCAAUACAGGACUCCUAGACAAGCGACUCAAAGUUCCUGGGCGCUGGAGCUUGCCCACUAGCCACUGAUAUCCGCGGACAUCACGUUCACACCUAAUUCUCACGAACCCGCAGAAAAGGAGUAUUGAAUUGAGAGUCCAAGCAACCUCAAGUCUGUAAAUGCCAAUGGGAGAAGCAACGGGAAAUAAGGGAACGCAUGAGAGUGGGGAGUCAUCUGCAUUUAAGCACAAUUAAUAUCUAAAUCAGGAGCCUCUUCGAUGGCGUUCAACUGACUUGCUCUUCCAAAAGAACGGCUAAAACUGGACUGGCGCGGGCUUGCGAGACAUUCCGGCUCUGUCGCCCAGGCUGGAGGGCAGUGACGCGAUCUCGGCUCGCUGCAAGCUCCGCCUCCCGGGUUCUGGCCAUUCUCCUGCCUCAACCUCCCGAGUAGCUGGGACUACAGGCGCCCGCCAGCACGCCUGGCUAAUUUUUUGUAUUUUUAGUAGAGACGGGGUUUCACCGUGUUAGCCCACCGUGUUAGGAUGGUCUCGAUUUCCUGACCUCGUGAUCCGCCCGCCUCGGCCUUCCAAAGUGUUGGGAUUACAGGCGUGAGCCACCGAACCCGGCCUUUUUUUUUUUUUUUUUUAAUUUUUACCUUAUAUAUUUUAGGAGUUCCUAAAUUUUACCUCGUACAGUUUAGGAGCUUAUUUUUUCCCUGUAUCUUUUUGUUUUCCAAAGCAACAAGAAAUUCUAAACAAAAUGCUGCUUAUGAAAUAUUUAUAAAUCGGCAAUGGCAAGUAUCACCUUCAAGUGGCACAACAAACAAGAUAACACUCAGUGAAAAAAUCUGGGCUUAAAUUACACAGAAUUCAGAAUACUCAUAAAGUGUUAAGAAAAAGAGCAUUACUUUGCUUUUGUCUCCCUCUUGCUUCUUUUCUCAACAAGAAAGGAAAAAUAUCCUAAAUUGAGGGCUUCCUCUGAGUGGAGGUCUCACAGUAAGGGUUGAAAAGGAAUUUAAUCAUCCCUUAACCAGCCAGGUUUUAUUUUAUUCCCUUCUGCUGGACCUAUAUAUGUGUCAUUCUAAUGUCCCAAAGGGUAAUGCGAGGAACCAGCACUCAUAAGCUCCCUCAGAAAAGAGAGAGAAACUCAAAGAACUGGUUUGACUAGGAUCUCAGCUUUGGGUGUGUAAUUUUGGCCUCCUAAUUUACAAGGCUGAGAUUAAUGAAUCAUAUGGCCACAAUUCAAAGGUUUUUUUUUAAUUCAAUUUUUUUUUUUUUUUUGAGAUGGAGUCUUGCUCUGUCGCCCAGGCUGGAGUGCAGUGGCACAAUCUCUGCUCACUGCAACCUCCAGCCUCCAGCCUCUUGGGUUCAAGUGAUUCUCCUGUGUCAGCCUCCCAAGUAGCUGGGAUUACAGAUGUGUGCCACCACGCCUGGCUAAUUUUUGUAUUUUUAGUAGAGACGGAGUUUCGCCAUGUUGGCCAGGCUGGUCUUGAACUCCUGACCUCAUGUGAUCCACCUGCCUCGGCCUAACCAAAGUGCUGGGAUUAUAGGGGUGAACCACUGCAGCCAGCCUCAAAGGUAAUAUUUUUAAAGCAGCUUCAUGUUUAAGAUCAUGUUUGGUGAUUUUGAACCUUUUAGUUAAAUUCAAUUAUUUGACAUGGAAGGAAAUUCAAAAGGCAGGUGAUUCCCUGCUCAGCAUCCAUGGUCUUCCACAGUUUUUGUGAACUCCUUGAUAAUGAUUUCUCCAAUUGUUUUGUAUCAGGGGGCAUGUAAAGUGAGAGAGUUCAUACCUUUUUUCCUAUUUGGCUUGGACUUUUUAUUUUUCUUUUUAAAGAGACGGGAGUCUCUCUAUUUUGCCCAGGCUGGCCUCCAACUCCUGAGCUCAAGUGAUCUUCUUGCCUCAGCCUCCCAAGAAGCUGGAACUAUAGAGACAUGUAGUACCUUAUCUGGCUGUGCCUUGGAAUUUUUAAGAAUUUAAAAAUCUCUUUCCCAAUAACUUCAUGACCAUGAAGUGGAAGAGAGAAUUGCCAACUGCUUUUUGUUGUUUUGGGAAAUGCAUAAAAUACAUAUAUGAGAGAUGUCUCUAAUUGUUACAAAAUUCUCUGAGACAGGCCAAGCAUCUGUUUCCCCAGUGGCAAAGCUAUACUCACUACUAUACCAAGGUGAAAAGGGUUAUUGGAAAUUGCUGUGCUCAGUGCCAUGGUCCAAGUAUAUUUCUGAUAUUCACAGACCAAUGCAGGCACAUGCAUACCUAAAGCAUAUGACUUUCCAGGCUUUAUCUGAGCCAUGCUGCUAAUUUCGUUGCUAAACUUAAUCUUUCCCUUUUCUUUCAUGUUGUGGCCCUCCAGAAUUAAUCAUUCUCCUUUAAUGAUCAAGGCCCACAAGCAUAAAUCUUGUACCCGAGAAAUGGUAGACUCACACUUUUCCCCAAUCAAACUUUCUAAUGCUCAUCCACCUGGAAAUUGCAGUUUUCAUUUUUAUUUGUGUAUUCCACCCUCUUUGUGCCAUUAUGCUGCUGGCCACAAGCAGUUUCCUUAAACUCUCCCUGUGUGGGCUUGUUUAUAUUUGUAGAAUAUUCCUCCUAAUAGACACCAAUCACCAUAAGGUCAGCAACUGUGCUUGUGUUUUGUUUACCUUUGUGUCUAUAGCACUAAGCACAACACCUGGCCCACCACAAAAAUUUAAUAUUUUCUACUGUGUGUGUUUGUGUGUGUGUGUGUGUGUGUGUGUGUGAGACAGAGUUUCGCCUUGUCGCCCAGACUGGAGUGCAACGGCGUGAUCUGGGCUCACUGCAACCUCCGUCUCCUGAGUUCAAGCAAUUCUCCUGCCUCAGCUUCCCAAGUAGCUGGGAUUACAGGCGCCCGCCAACACGCCUGGCUAAUUUUUUAUAUUUUUAGUAGAGACGGGAGUUUCACCAUGUCGGCCAGGCUGCUCUUGAACUUCUGACCUCAGGUGAUCCACCCGUCUUGGCCUCCCAAAGUGCUGGGAUUACAUGCAUGAGCCACUGCGUCCCGCCUGUUUUCUACUAUUUAUAGAAAGAAUGACCUUCUCAGAGCUCCUAAUUGAAUGUUUAGUUCACAGUAAGAACCUAGUUUAGUAUAUUGCCUUACUUGAAUCUGCUGAUUGUUUUAGUCCAAAUUCUUACUCAUCUCAUUCUUUGUCCUCCUUCUAAGUUAUAUUCUCUGUUAGAACAGCUCUAAGCCAGUCAAGUGGCUGCCCACAGGGCCACUAGCUAUUACUAGGUCUGAGGAGGCAGUUCAAUUACUGAAGGAGAGAAAAUUGUAUUCCUCAUGUUGCAAUUUUAAAUUUCUCUAGUUUUUAAAUUUCUAUUGGAGAAAUUCUUUUCCUUCUCUACAUUCUUGGUCUGUAUUUAUGUAGAAUAAUGUUUCCUUGAUUUGCUAGAUCAAACCUAUUUAUAUAUUGAUUGCAGAGAGUCCAGAGCCUAUCCUGUGUAGAAGGUGAUGGUUGUAAGCAUGUCAGAAUUAAAUUUAAAAUUCACUGUAACCUAAAACUAAUGUUAAAAUUGAUCUUUAUAUGUUUUUCUCUUUGAGUCUGUGGGUAAGAAUGAUUAAACUCCUUUGUUUAAUAUCAGCUUUUUAAAAAAUCCCACUUACCAGAACGUCUUCUUUCUACUGUCUCCCUCCAAGUGGGCAAGUGGGCCAAGGUGCUCUGAAGGGAUGUAUGGACUCUCCCUGGGGUGUGGGGGUGAAGGUCAAGAAGUGGGGUAGGGGAGGGAAGACAGUGACAUUUUCUUCUGUUAAACCGGUGACCACUAUCCAUCGAAUCACAGAAUACAAAUUUCUUUUUGCAGCAUAGGUUUUUUUCCAAACAGUCACAGACAGUUGAACACUUGGAAAUGCCUCCUUUAACAGUUGAAAAUUUACAAUGCAAUAAAAUCGUCUUUGCAUCAUGGCUAUGGCAUACACUGGAGUCCAGCUGGGUAGGGUCAAAUUCUGAGACCUGUGAUUCUUUACUCUAGUAAAAGCCAUUUGCUUCUCCCCACUGCCCUUUAGGGUAACAAUCUGGGAUGGCUACUCUCUCCUACCUUUCCUUUGCCAUUGAUGGUACAAUAAUGAUCAGUUCUUGGUAUAUCUUCUAUUCUUCUUGGUACCAAGGAAAUUUUUUUUUUGCAG